rnacentral:rRNA from 1 species
CGAAGCCGCUGGCGGCGUGCUUAACACAUGCAAGUCGAGCGGUAAGGCCCUUCGGGGUACACGAGCGGCGAACGGGUGAGUAACACGUGGGUGAUCUGCCCUGUACUUCGGGAUAAGCCUGGGAAACUGGGUCUAAUACCGGAUAUGACCUUACAUCGCAUGGUGUUUGGUGGAAAGAUUUAUCGGUACAGGAUGGGCCCGCGGCCUAUCAGCUUGUUGGUGGGGUAAUGGCCUACCAAGGCGACGACGGGUAGCCGGCCUGAGAGGGCGACCGGCCACACUGGGACUGAGACACGGCCCAGACUCCUACGGGAGGCAGCAGUGGGGAAUAUUGCACAAUGGGCGAAAGCCUGAUGCAGCGACGCCGCGUGAGGGAUGACGGCCUUCGGGUUGUAAACCUCUUUCGACAGGGACGAAGCGCAAGUGACGGUACCUGUAGAAGAAGCACCGGCCAACUACG